rnacentral:lncRNA from 1 species
UAACAGGUUGACCUAUGGAUACUUGGCAGGUCUGUGAUGUUCCAACAGAAGCCACUCUGGGUCCUCUGAAAGUGGGAAGUGGUAGCUUGCCAAGCCUCUCAGAACAAUUUUGUCAGCCCCAAGGGCUCACCUCAGACAUGCAUCCAGGGCUCUCACCACCAGGAUACUGUCUGCAUCCACCAAGGAGACCACAGAGAGAGUCACCCUGCCCUGGAAGGAAACAGAGAGCCUCAACAAUGAGGGCUCCCUGGAGUCUGCCACAGCUCCCGAGGGUCUCCAGGACUUCCAGAUGAGACAUCUUCGACCUUAGAGUCUCCAUGGUGUGACUCAACACAAAAAGCCCCCCAGCCACCUCCUACAGACAAACAAAAGACACAGACAGACAGAAGAUGCUUUGGAGGGGCGUGCAGGCUGUGAGAUAGGGGUCAGACGAAACUAGCAGGUCUAAGUUUGCAAAGGCAAGAACCCCACAUCAUAAUGAGUUAGGGGUGGGAGUGGGACUGGGUCUCCUCCGGGAUGACAAAGGCUUCGAAACUAACGGGAGAUGCUCACCACAAGAUGGUGGAUUAUAUCAGUCAACCUCAGUGUCACGCAUGCUGAUCCGCUGCUCCAGCCGUUACACAAGGCUCCUUCUAGAGAGGUGAUUGAGGUCAUGUCAUUUCUCACUUCCAUUCAAAGUGAAACAAACAAACAAAGAGUUAGAGCCCUAAGCCCAGUUAGUGGAGCCCACC